rnacentral:rRNA from 1 species
CCUACGGGGAGCAGCAGUGAGGAAUAUUGGUCAAUGGGCGGAAGCCUGAACCAGCCAAGUCGCGUGAGGGAUUAAGGCCCUGCGGGUCGUAAACCUCUUUUGCCGGGGAGCAGAGGUCCGGACGUGUCCGGGCCGGGAGAGUACCCGGAGAAAAAGCAUCGGCUAAAUCCGUGCCAGCAGCCGCGGUAAUACGGAGGAUGCGAGCGUUAUCCGGAUUUAUUGGGUUUAAAGGGUGCGUAGGCGGGCAUUUAAGCCGGCGGUCAAAUGUCGGGGCUCAACCCCGGCCUGCCGUCGGAACGGGGUGCCUUGAGUGGGCGAGAAGUAUGCGGAAUGCGUGGUGUAGCGGUGAAAUGCAUAGAUAUCACGCAGAACCCCGAUUGCGAAGGCAGCAUACCGGCGCCCUACUGACGCUGAGGCACGAAAGUGCGGGUAUCGAACAGGAUUAGAUACCCCAGUAGUC